rnacentral:tRNA from 1 species
GGUAAAAUGGCCGAGGUAGGCGGUGGAUUGUAGACCCAUGAACAGAGGUUUAAGCCCUCUUUUUACCA